rnacentral:lncRNA from 1 species
GGGGAGUAGAGGGAUCCAAAAAAUUAGUGAAAGCCAUUGUUUGCAUCUUAAAUACUCUAGAAGCAAAUAUAACAUUAAAGUAGAAAAGUCUAACUUGAAUCUCUACUCUCAUAGUUAAACAAUGUCAGCCUCGAACCCUAUAUCCCGCAUCCUUGAAACCAAUCGUUUGACUGGAACUAAUUACAAAGACUAGCUCAGAAAUCUCAAGAUUAUCCUAACC